UCAGUAAAAGAGUGCAUAGGAAAGAAGAACUUUCAAACAUUUUAGGGCUGAUACAAUCGUCUUCAAACGUCAUGGUCUAACGUACAUUCCUUACCGCCAACGACCAAUCAGAAUGCAGGAUUCAAACAUGCCAUCGAAAAAUAAUAUAAUAAGACUUUAUUAUCGUUGUAAGUGCAGUCCAAUAGCAGCCUUUUUUUCAACCUCCAGCUGCCUACCAGGUUACAGAUGCUCGUAUGAACGCCUUCACCUGUUCCACCACAGACUGCUUCAGCUACCUUGACGGUCCAUUCUGCAUCUCCAACGGCUCCGUCGUCUGUGACAACUGCAUCCGGGACGGCAUGCUUUGCGCUGACACCAGCCUCAGCUCCUCCGACUGCAACCAGCCCUGCGAUAAAUAGGACUGAUUAUAUGACGAUAUAGAUAGUUGAUGAAUGUAAACUUGAUGGCCUAUUCACAUCAAUAAACAAUGUGCAGCAA